rnacentral:rRNA from 1 species
CUCAACCUGAACUCAGUCGUGAUUACCCGCUGAACUUAAGCAUAUCAUUUAGCGGAGGAAAAGAAACUAAAAAGGAUUCCCUUAGUAACGGCGAGUGAAACGGGAAGAGCCCAGCGCCGAAUCGAUCAGUCUUUGGCUGCUUCGAAAUGUGGCGUAUAGGUGUAAGUUUCCAGCAGUGUCGUAUGUCCGAAGUCCUUACGAUUGAGGCCAUAAACCAGAGAGGGUGCGAGCCCCGUUCUGGAUAGCGGCACUGUUGGUUCGCUUGCUCCUUGGAGUCGGGUUGCUUGAAAGUGCAGCCUAAAGUGGGUGAUAAACUUCAUCUAAGGCUAAAUAUCGACUCGAUUGCGAUAGCGAACAAGUACCGUGAGGGAAAGUUGCAAAGGACUUUGAAGAGAGAGUUCAAGAGAACGUGAAAUCGCUGGAGUGGAACCGGAGACAGUUGAUGUUGCUU